UUUUCCUUUCAGCCAGCUUGCUUCAAGAAUAUCUUCUGGAAACUGGAUGUUAAUGAAAAAUCAGGAUAUCCCUGCUGGUUCAGUAGACUGUGGAAUAGAGAUGUUGAUGGUGUUUGAAUAUUAACUGGGAGCAGGCUGGCUGUAUGGAUGAAGUAGGGCAGCUGACUCGAGAACAAGGGACUCAGGUUUAUGAGGCUACAGAGAUCAGCAGGGCCUCCAGGAGGACUCAACAUGAAAAACUGUUGGAGUUCAUCAUAAAAGGCCAAGGAGCAGAUGAUCAACUGCUGGCUGUUGUAUCUGAAAAGGUGUCAUCCAAAUGGUUUUAAAAUGAUGAAGAUCC